CGCCACGCGCCGCCGCCUCCUGCCCCUCGCGCCCCCCGGCCGCGCCCACCUCUACCGCCGCGGCCGCGUCCACCUCCCCCAAAAAACCCUAGCCGCCGCCACCUCUCAUCCCACCCUCUCCCUCUCCCGCUGCGUCUGCCUCCCCCUCGCGCCGCCGUCGUCGCCUCCGCCUUCCCCUCGCGCCCCCGCCUCCGCCUUGCAACGUAGCCAUCGUCGUCCCCGUCGGCUCGCGCUGCCGCCUCCACCUCCCCCGCCGCUGCCGCCGCCGUCGUCGCGUUGUCGUCUCCGAGCGCCUCCGCCUCCCGCCUCGCGCCGCCGCCGAGCGCAGCCAUCCCCGUCUCCGCCACUGCCGUCGGCAUCAUCGAGCGCCCCCGACUAGCGGCCGAGACGGCGAGCUCGGGGAGGCGAUGGCUAGGGCGCGUCCGUCGACAUCGCGCUGCCGCUCCCGGAGAUGACGCCCCGCAUCAUGCGAAGGUAUCUGCAAGGAAUUGGUGAGAGGACGGUCAUCGCUAGACAGCUCGCGCUUCUCGAUCGAGACGGUGUCUGGCGGCAGCAUCACGAAUAUGUUGCUGAGUGUCUCCGUAGAAGAUGGCAAGGGCAACAAGUCUUCUGUGACUGUUCGUUUGUAUGGCCCAAAUACAGCCUUGGUGAUUGAUCGGAAGAAGGAAAUGCAGGCUAUACCACAUCUCUCAGCUCCAGGGUUUGGGGUCAGCUACUUGGAACAUUUGAAAAUGGAAUGGUCCAGUCAUUCAUCUAUGCACGUACAUUAACUCCUUCAGCAAGGAUGUAAAUGGAAAAGGUUUCAGGGCCAAUGGGAGUGAAUCAUCGAAUAGACAGCCAAAGGACAAAGGAUUCUCAUGAAAAACAAGGAUUUCAGCUUACAAGAGGUGCUUGAAUGCACCGCGGAGUGUAUUUUCACAUUUUGUUGGAGAAAUAAUUGAGGCAAUGGCUGGACAUAUACCCCUACAGUAAUCAUGGGAAAGCUAUUAUCUGACAACGGGAGUCAAGAGUUCGGUGAUUUUAAGCUCGUUAUACAUAGAAUGCUGUCUGUAUCUUUAUGAAAAAAGAAUGCUGUUAUGUCCAUAUUGAUUUUAUCCCAUAUGCAAUUUACUUGCUGCUAUAGCAGAUCAGCAAUGCUUUAGGCUUUUCCAUGCUGCUGUAAUGUAAAAUCAUUAGGAAAUUCCCGAAGUACACAUCGCUUACAAUGAUUGACAGACUUAGUGUUGUUUUAAAUUGAACGCUUGUUUGCUACUACAAUUGUUGGGGUAAAUGAACUUCUAUAUUUUGUUUGAUAGAAAAGAGUUUCUGGCUCCCCUAAUACCCUUUUUAGGGGUGCAUCUCGGUGCUGCCACCAUUAUCCUCACGCGUCGCCGGUUGUCUGCCUCUAUCCUCGCGCGAGCGGAUCCAUUGCUGCCGUGGAUCAGGAAGCCAUGGCCUCGUUGAUGGUGGGCAUCGGCAACGGCACCACCUCCACGCCCAUGUUUGUGCUUCAACUACUGCUGUGGUGUGCAUAUUUCCAUCGAAGGAGCGAGAGUGUCACGAUGGUGCAGAGCAUAUCCCAGAUUGGCCGUAUGGCGAGCAAAUGGAUAGAUGGGUUUCUUUCAUGUAGGGAAAGGAAAUGUGAUUUCAGUUACCUGACUGCUGCCGCAAUCUGCGAAGCAUCUACAAGCGACGCCAUCGGUUCAGGCAGCUGGCACGGCAAUGCCGGUUCCCCUUGCCUCCAUAUCCAACUCCUCUUGUGCCAUUUACAGCUCCCAAUGGGGCCCAAAGCCAGCUCGUCUGCUUUGGGUGCCGUCCAGCCAGAGCAACGUCGGUUUGCUGCGCGGUUUGCAGUACCGUGACCGCUGUGCCUGCUCCCGAGCAGAAAUCUAGCUGCAAUGUUCACAAAAAUGUAAAGACAAAUUAAAGGGGAAUACAAACGGCUUCAGGGCUCCGCAAUGGCGCGCACGUUGCGUUGAUGGUGCCUAUGCUCAGGCCGCUCGCGAAGAAGUACACACUAGAGUUGUUGUUCGCAUCUUCGCCGCCGUCGGUGACCGCUGCGGCCAUGAAGGAGUGUGUGCUUGAUGAGUACUCCACCAAGCACAGGAUCUCUAUCGAUAGGUUUCUCCAGCUGAAGAUAUUUGUCAAGGUGCAUGAUCGGGCUUAAAGGUCACUGCAUACGUGAGGUGCUUGAGCAGUAGGAAUCUGCAUCUACCAUGGAUGUUGUUGCUACACAAACAAAACAAUAUAAUUGCUGGUAUACACCCAUGGUACCUCAGAUACAUCAUGUUCCAGCCGUUGAAAGAAAGUUGCAUUCAUUCUGGUGAUUCAAACUUUCUGGAUCUUGAAUGGCUUUCAACUUGAGACAACUCAAGCGAUGAAAGGUCCAUUGCAAUUAAUACUCCGGAUGUGAACCUUUCAGCGGAGAAUGUUAUUGCCACAAUGUCUUCUUUUGACUGGUAGAUUUGUAUGAUCAAAUAUAGUUGUAUCAUCACCAUGGACACAUUACUCUGAUCAUUAUGUAAAACUUUGAUUUUUAUUUUUUAUAUGCAUUGGUGCUUCAUCUUUAGAUUGUAAAGUGUAAGAGUUUUGUUCUCAACAGAAUCUGUAAAACAAUGUAUGGAAAUUACUCAUCAACGGCAUUCACUGCAAAUGUAUUCAUAGGUUUUUUUUUCUUACA